UGCACUCACUAUUGUAAGUCUCUCUGGAUAAGAGCGUCUGCUAAAUGCCUCAAA
rfam:Salmo salar isolate Sally breed double haploid chromosome ssa12, whole genome shotgun sequence.